rnacentral:rRNA from 1 species
UCGGGAAUAUUGGACAAUGGGGGAAACCCGUGAUCCAGCCAUGCCGCGUGUGUGAAGAAGGCCCUAGGGUUGUAAAGCACUUUUAGUAGUGAGGAAGGCUCGGUAGUUAAUACCUACCGGGAUUGACGUUAGCUACAGAAAAGACACCGGCUAAUUUCGUGCCAGCAGCCGCGGUAAUACGAAAGGUGCAAGCGUUAAUCGGAAUUACUGGGCGUAAAGCGCGCGUAGGCGGCUUGGUAAGUUGGAUGUGAAAGCCCCGGGCUCAACCUGGGAACUGCAUCCAAAAACUGCCUAGCUAGAGUAUGGUAGAGGAUGGCGGAAUUUCCUGUGUAGCGGUGAAAUGCGUAGAU